UACAGAGGUCUCAAGCGUUGUUCGGAUUCAUUGGGCGUAAAGGGUGCGUAGGCGGCGCGGUAAGUCGGGUGUGAAAUCUUGGAGCUUAACUCCGAAACUGCAUUCGAUACUGCCGUGCUUGAGGACUGGAGAGGAGACUGGAAUUUACGGUGUAGCGGUGAAAUGCGUAGAUAUCGUAAGGAAGACCAGUGGCGAAGGCGGGUCUCUGGACAGUCCUGACGCUGAGGCACGAAGGUCAGGGGAGCAAACGGG
rnacentral:rRNA from 1 species